AGGCGCACUUCCGGCUCUGCCCCGCCGCUGCGGCCAUUGUCCGGCCCCAGCGCGGCUAAGGCCGCUUUGGGCCGCCCUUCGUACUUCAGAGUUGGAGAGGACUGAGCCCACAGCCGGGGCGGGAGGAGCCGGCCCUAGCCCAGGACCCUGUCUGGGAGCCGGGCUGGUGACGCAGGAAUGGCCCCAAGGCCUCCGACGACCAGGCCCCAGGAAUCAGUGACAUUCAAGGAUGUGGCUGUGAACUUCACCCAGGAAGAAUGGCACCACGUGGAUCCUGCUCAGAGGCGCUUGUACAAGGAUGUGAUGCUGGAGAACUAUAGCCACUUGGUUUCUCUUGGAUAUCAAGUUUCCAAGCCAGAGGUGAUCUUCAAAUUGGAGCAAGGAGAAGAGCCAUGGAUAGCAGAGGGAGAAAUCCAAAGACCUUUCUAUCCAGAACUUGGCUAAGAUUAAAGAGUGACGCAUCAAGGAAGAGGGAUUACCUGCUAAACUCAUCACAGCCAGAAUUUUUUCUUAAAAUAUCCAGAAUGAGAUAAAAUAUCCAAAAUGGGAUUACUGUGUCAGCGUGUAGAGGUAAGUAUAACCCGAUGGUGUGAGGCUCAUAAAAGAAUAUACUAGAUAUAAUAGCACAAGAGUAAUAGUCUGGGAAUUGCAAAAGGGAAGCAGGAGAAAACCAUUCUCCCACUCCUAGUGCCUGCGUGUGUCUGGGGAAGGGCAGCAGGGCAGGUGUGUCCGCCAGUAACACUCAUGUGUGCCAGGUUGAGAAGAAACCACUUCUGCAGUGAUUAGGCGUGAUGGUGAUGCUCGGUUCUUUAUAGCUGCAGUGGGCUUUUGUAAAUACUGAACUAGUUAACUCCUAGGUUAAAAAUGCAAAUGUCACAUCAGGGAAGAGUUAAUGACUGCCCUACUUCAACAAAAUUGGUCUCCUUUUACAUUUUCAUGGAUUAUUGUUAACGUCCUUUACCUUACCACAAUUUGUAUUUUAGAUUAUUUCAUUUUCUCCCCCACCCCCAACACAGCCCACAGUAGAUUGUGAAUUCCAGGAAGACAGGGUCCACAUCUGUUUUGCUAACUUUUUGUCCCACUGCUUAUCACAAUGCCAGGCAUGUAAUAGGUACUCAGUGCAGUCUUACUAGUGAACAUUACUGUGGAGAUAUGUUGAUAGACAAAGAAGACUGGCUUGUGAAUGAAAGAAUGCUCAAUCCUGAAAUUAGAAUAUUGCAGAAGAAAGCAGUGGGAUCAUAGUUCAGAUCCACUAGGCUGGCAAAAUUUAGAAAUCUGGCAGGGGGUGUAAAAGUGAGAACUUCUAUACACUGUCGGUGAGAGGGUAAAUUGAUAUAAUCAUUUGGGGAGUAAUUUGGCAAUAUCCAGUAAAAUUGAAGCUAAGCAUACUUCUUAACCCAGCGAUUCCAUUUGUAGAUAUAUGCGGUAGACUAGAAAUACUCACAUGUGAGCACGAAGACAUACAAAGAUGAUCACUGCAGCAGUGUUUGAAAUAGUAAAUAUAUGGACACAACACAGAUGUCUGACAGUAAAUGAAUGGAUUAAUAAAUCAUAGCAUAUUGUUUAAUACAAUACAGUAAGUACAUAGAGGAACCAGGGUAUCAGGCAAAAACAACAACAACAACCACCCAAAAAAAGCCCUUCUAGCUCACCUUUUCCACUCCUGGACCCAUGCGGGUAAAUGUGGCUGGAGAAGAGCAGCCACAGUGACUAGUUCUGCUUUAAAUUCCUGGCUGCUAACCUCAAGCAUUUGUUCCCCUAGUCCAGUCACUGUCCUGGUCUCCUUAGGUACUGUUUUAUAGCUUGUCUUCUCAACCUCCAGCUCUUUGUACCAGUCCUUAGUCAGCUAGCGACCUUGUUUCCUAGCUAACUGAGAAAAAUAAGAGCAAUCAGAAGGCAACUACUCUCUUACAUGCAUCUUGUCCAUGCACUCUUUCUUUAUAUCCUGAUUCUGUGGUUGACUCUUUCUUCUCUUAAUGUCUUGUCAACUUCUCCUCUGGUGUAUUAGAUCCUUUUCGUAAACUAGAACAUCAUUCCUACAAUUGUCCUCUCUUCUGCAUCUUUUUUUUUUCUUGUCUACUGUAUCUUUCCCAUCAGCAAAAUAACAGGUAAUUUUUCUCAUCUUAAAUAUAUGUAUAUAUUUAUUUAUACAUACAUACAUAAACUACAUCUCCCUCCACCUGCCACUCCAUUUCCUUCUUCACUUAACAAUAUUCCUCAGUAGAGGUGUCUAUCUAAUACUCAUUGUCUCCAGUUCCUCUCCUUCCAGUCUCUCUUGCAUUCCCUCCAAUUAGGUCUUUGUUUCUGCUCUUGUCAGAGGUCACUGAUGGACUCUAUGUGGCUAAAUCCAGUGGUCUUUUUUUCAAUUCUUUUUCUUGACCUGUCAGCAUUAUUUGGUAUAGUUGAUCACUUCCUCACCCUUGCACAUUUUUUUCAUUUGGCUUUCAGAUUAUCACACUUAGAUUUCCUUGUACUUUACUGACAUCUACUUCUCCCAGUUUCUUUAUGUCCCCUUGCUUUAGACAUAGGAAUUCUAGGGCUCAAUCUUUGGACCUCUUUUCUUUUUCUACAUUGGGGCUCUCAUCCUAGUGUGAGGGCUCUCAUUGGGGCUCUCAUCCUGUUUCAACUUGCUGACAACUUAAAAAUUUUUAUCUCCAACCCGACUCCAUACUCAUGUAACCAACUGCCUACUUGAUGUCUCCACUUGGAUGUCUAACAGACAUCUCAAAUUUAAUAAUGUCCAAAGAUAAACUAACUCAUGAUCUCCCCCUCCCAGUCCCAUCAUAAACAUAUUCCUUCCUCAGUCCUCCCAUCUGGGAAAAGGCAACCCCAUCCUUCCAGUUGCUCUGCCCCCAAACUGGGGAACCAUUCUUGAUUCCUUUGUUUCACAUCCCACAUCCAAAUUUCAAUAAGCUCUGUCUGCUAACUUGCGGGAUAUUUGAGGAUGGCCACUUCUUGUUGCCUCUACUGUCCUAGCCUAUGUCACCAUCAUCUCUGGUCCAGAUAUCUGCAAUAGCCUCUAAUUGGUUCCUCUGCUUCCAUCUGUGCCUCUCUGUGUUCGAAGUUCAGCAGCCAGAGUGAUACUGUAAAAAUCUGAUAAGAUUGUGUCACUCAUCUUCUCAAAGCUCUCUAAUAGCUCUCCACUUCAUGAAUACAGGCUAAAGCAGAAGCCCUACUUAGUACUGGCACCACCUGCUGCCCUGUAUUACCUGUGUGACUCACCACUCCUCUCCUUUCUUGAUCACUAUGCUCUGGGCCCACUGACCUCUCUGCAGUAGCUUUUUUUUUUUUUUAACAUUUUUUAUUGAUUUAUAAUCAUUUUACAAUGUUGUAUCAAAUUCCAGUGAAGAGCACAAUUUUUCAGUUAUUCAUUGUCACAUUUUUUUUCUCCAUGAGCUACCAUAAGAUCUUGUAUAUAUUUCCCUGUGCUAUACUCUCUGCAGUAACUUAAACACCCACAGCAAGCUUCCACUUCAGAACCUUUGCGUUUGCUAUUCGCUUUUCCUGGAAUCCUCUUCCCCUAGAUAUCACCUGGUUUGGUUUCUAACCUCCAGUAGAUCUUUGUUCAAUGAACCCUUCGUUGACUAUCCUAUCAAAAUAGCAAUCACCCUGCGUGGCACGCUCUAACUCCCUUCCCAGCUUCAUUUUUUCCAUAAUACCUACCAUCACCUGACACUCUAAAUAGUUUACUUAUUAUAUGUCCUUCUCUAGAAGGUAAGCUCCGUGAGAGUAGAGAUUUGGGGGGAUGUAAAUUUUAUUGAAGCAUAACGUUCUUACAGUAAAGUACAAAAAUAGCAAGUGAACAGCUUGAUGACUGAGGACAGCAACUUAUGUAUCUUUUGUUCAGUGCCCUGUCCCCAGUACAGGAGAUACUCAAAUAUUAAUAAAUGGUUGAACUGGAUGUACAUAUAUUAACAAGAAAAACACUGAAAAUAAUUGAAAAUAAAGUUGCAGAAGGGUUGUAUAUAGUGUGAUGUAACUUUUUAAAAUCCAUAACACGUAUUUUUUUAAUCAACACACAUGAAGUAAAAGUAGGAAAUUAGUGAAACAUCAGCUUCAGAGUGGUGGUUUCCCCUGGAGCUAGAGGGAAAAGGGAUG